AGCUCCAAUAGCGUAUAUUAAAGUUGUUGCAGUUAAAAAGCUCGUAGUUGGAUCUCGGGUGCAGGCUGGCGGUCCGCCUCGCGGCGGGUUUCUUCCACGUUUCCUGCUCCUCACCCCCCCGUUUUAAAGUUUUCUGAACUUUUCCCCCUAGUGCUCUUUACUGAGUCGCUCGGGGUGGCCGGAACGUUUACUUUGAAAAAAUUAGAGUGUUCAAAGCAGGCGCGUCGCCUGAAUACUGUUGCAUGGAAUAAUAGAAUAGGACCUCGGUUCUAUUUUGUUGGUUUUCGGAAGUCGAGGUAAUGAUUAAUAGGGACGGCCGGGGGCAUUUGUAUUGCGGCGUUAGAGGUGAAAUUCUUGGAUCGUCGCAAGACAAACUACAGCGAAGGCGUUUGCCAAGAAUGUCUUCA
rnacentral:rRNA from 1 species